rnacentral:rRNA from 1 species
CACGUAGGGCGCGAGCGUUGUCCGGAAUUAUUGGGCGUAAAGAGCUCGUAGGCGGCCUGUUGCGUCCGCUGUGAAAGCCCGGGGCUUAACCCGGGUCGCAGUGGAUACGGGCAGGCUAGAGGUAGGUAGGGGAGAAUGGAAUUCCCGGUGGUAGCGGUGAAAUGCGCAGAUAUCGGGAGGAACACCGGGUGGCGAAGGCGGUUCUCUGGGCCUGUACUGACGGCUGAGGAGCGAAAGCGUGGGGAGCGAACAGG